UACAGAGGUCUCAACCGUUGUUCGGAUUCAUUGGGCGUAAAGGGUGCGUAGGCGGUCGUGCAAGUCGGAUGUGAAAUCUCAGGGCUCAACCCUGAAACUGCAUUCGAUACUGCGCGGCUAGAGUGCUGGAGGGGAGACUGGAAUUUACGGUGUAGCGGUGAAAUGCGUAGAUAUCGUAAGGAAGACCAGUGGCGAAGGCGGGUCUCUGGACAGUUCCUGACGCUGAGGCACGAAGGCCAGGGGAGCAAACGGG
rnacentral:rRNA from 1 species